rnacentral:rRNA from 1 species
GGGUGAGAUCAUACCAGCACUAAUGCACCGGAUCCCAUCGGAACUCCGCAGCUAAGCGUGCUUGGGCGAGAGUAGUACUAGGAUGGGUGACCUCCUGGGAAGUCCUCGUGUUGCACCCC